GGGGCUGAUUCUGGAUUCGACGGGAUUUGCGAAACCCAAGGUGCAUGCCGAGGGGCGGUUGGCCUCGUAAAAAGCCGCAAAAAAUAGUCGCAAACGACGAAAACUACGCUUUAGCAGCUUAAUAACCUGCUUAGAGCCCUCUCUCCCUAGCCUCCGCUCUUAGGACGGGGAUCAAGAGAGGUCAAACCCAAAAGAGAUCGCGUGGAAGCCCUGCCUGGGGUUGAAGCGCUAAAACUUAAUCAGGCUAGUUUGUUAGUGGCGUGUCCGUCCGCAGCUGGCAAGCGAAUGUAAAGACUGACUAAGCAUGUAGUACCGAGGACGUAGGAAUUUCGGACGCGGGUUCAACUCCCGCCAGCUCCACCA
rnacentral:tmRNA from 1 species